rnacentral:lncRNA from 1 species
UUCUAGUGAUUGGAUUUCACUCAAAACCCACCAAAUGACUCCUCCCACAAUAUUAUGAUGUUCCCCAAGUUUUGGACUCAAUCCGAUAUCGAUUGGUCCUUGAAAUCGGACAAUUCAGGUUCCUACGAAGUUCGUUCUGAAAUGGGGUGGUUGGUGUAUUGUAUAGUUCUAGAGAUUGGAUUUCACUCAAAACCCACCAAAUGACUCCUCCCACAAUAUUAUGAUGUUCCCCAAGUUUUGGACUCAGUCCGAUAUCGAUUGGUCCUUAAAAUCGGACAAUUCAGGUUCCUACGAAGUUCGCCCUGAAAUGGGGUGGUUGGGGUAUUGUAUAGUUCUAGAGAUUGGAUUUCACUCCAAACCCACCAAAUGACUCCUCCCACAAUAUUAUGAUGUUCCCCAAGUGUUGGGACUCAAUCCGAUAUCGAUUGGUCAAAUGAAAUUUGACAAUUCAGGUUCGUACGAAGUUCGGUUCUGAAAUGGGGGUUGGUUAGUGUAUUGUAUAAUUCUAGAGAGUAGAUUUCACUCAAAACCCAUCAAAUGACUCCUCCCACAAUAUUAUGAUGUUCCCCAAGUUUUGGACUCAAUCCGAUAUCGAUCGGUCCUCAAAAUCGGACAAUUCAGGUUCCCACGAAGUUCGUUCUUAAAUGGGGUGGUUGGUGUAUUGUAUAGUUCUGGAGAUUGGAUUUCACUCAAAACCCACCAAAUGACUCCUCCCACAAUAUUAUGAUGUUCCCCAAGUGUUGGACUCAAUCCGAUAUCGAUCGGUCCACGAAAUUUGACAAUUCAGGAUCGUACGAAGUUCGUUCUGAAAUGGAGUGGUUGGUGUAUUGUAUAGUUCUAGGGAUUGUAUUUCACUCAAAACAUACCAAAUGACUCCUCCCACAAUAUUAUGAUGUUCCCCAACUUUUGGACACAAUCCGAUAUAUAUUGGUCCUUGAAAUCGGACAAAUCAGGUUCGUACGAAGUUCGUUCUGAAAUGGGGUGGUUGGUGUAUUGUAUAGUUCUAGAGAGUGGAUUUCACUCAAAACCCGCCAAACGACUCCCCCCGGAAUAUUAUGAUGUUCCCCAACUUUUGGACUCAAUCCGAUAUCGAUUGGUCCUUGAAAUCGGACAAUUCAGGUUCGUACGAAGUUCGUUCUGAAAUGGGGUGGUUGGUGUUUUGUAUAGUUCUACAGAUUGGAUUUCACUCAAAACCCGCCAAAUGACUCCUCCCGGAAUAUUAUGAUGUUCCCGAACUUUUGGACUCAAUCCGAUAUCGAUUGGUCCUUGAAAUCGAACAAUUCAGGUUCGUACGAAGUUCGUUCUAAAAUGGGGUGGUUGGUGUAUUGUAUAGUUCUAGAGAUUGAAUUUCACUAAAAACCCACCAAAUGACAACUCCCACAAUAUUAUGAUGUUCCAUAAGUUUUGGAUUCAAUCCGAUAUCGAUCGGUCCACAAAAUCUGACAAUUCAGGUUCGUACGAAGUUCGUUCUGAAAUGGAGUGGUUGGCGUAUUGUAUAGUUCUAGGGAUUUCAUUUCACUCAAAACCCACCAAAUGCCUCCUCCCACAAUAUUUUAUUGUUCCCCAAGUUUUGGACUCAAUCCAAUAUCGAUUGGGCAAUGAAAUCGAACAAUCAGGUCGUACGAAGUUCGUUCUAAAAUGGGGUGGUUGGUGUAUUGUAUAGUUCUAGAGAUUGGAUUUCACUAAAAACCCACCAAAUGACUCCUCCCACAAUAUUAUGAUGUUGCCCAAGUUUUGGACUCAAUCCGAUAUCGAUCGGUCCACGAAAUUUGACAAUUCAGGAUCGUACGAAGUUCGUUCUGAAAUGGGGUGGUUGUUGUAUUGUAUAAUUCUGGAGAUUGGAUUUCACUCAAAACCCACCAAAUGACUCCUCCCACAAUAUUAUGAUGUUCCCCAAGUUUUGGACUCAAUCCGAUAUCGAUUGGUCCUCAAAAUCGGACAAUUCAGGUUCCUACGAAGUUCGUUCUGAAAUGGGGUGGUUUGUGUAUUGUAUAGUUCUGGGGAUUGGAUUUCACUCAAAACCCACCAAAUGACUCCUCCCACAAUAUUAUGAUGUUCCCCAAGUUUUGGACUCAAUCCGAUAUCGAUUGGUCCUCAAAAUCGGACAAUUCAGGUUCCUACGAAGUUCGUUCUGAAAUGGGGUGGUUGGUGUAUUGUAUAGUUCUGGAGAUUGGAUUUCACUCAAAACCCACCAAAUGACUCCUCCCACAAUAUUAUGAUGUUCCCCACGUUUUGGACUCAAUCCGAUAUCGAUCGGUCCACGAAAUUUGACAAUUCAAGAUCGUACGAAGUUCGUUCUGAAAUAGAGUGAUUGGUGUAUUGUAUAGUUCUACGGAUUGUAUUUCACUCAAAACAUACCAAAUGACUCCUCCCACAAUAUUAUGAUGUUCCCCAACUUUUGGACUCAAUCCGAUAUCG